CCCUUAGAUGUUCUGGGCCGCACGCGCGCUACACUGACUGGUGCAACAAGUGUCGCUCCUUGGCCGAUAGGCCUGGGCAAUCUUUGAACGCUGGUCGUGAUGGGGAUAGACUUUUGCAAUUUUUGGUCUUCAACGAGGAAUUCCUAGUAAACGCAAGUCAUCAACUUGCAUUGAUUACGUCCCUGCCCUUUGUACACACCGCCCGUCGCACCUACCGAUUGAAUGGUCCGGUGAAGCCUCCGGAUUGGCGCGCACCUCGGUGCCGCCGAGAAGUUGGCUAAACCUUACCAUUUAGAGGAAGGUGAAGUCGUANCA
rnacentral:rRNA from 1 species